GUGCAUGGACGUUCUAUCGCCUCGCUGCGAAAGCAACGGGGAGGAAAGUCGGGACAACACAGGGCAGCCUGCUUCCUAACGGGAAGGUACCAGGCCCGAAAGGACCGGGUAACAGAAAGUGCCACAGAAAAUUACCGCCUUAGCAAUGGGGUAAGGGUGAAAACGUGGGGUAAGAGCCCACGCAAUGUAAUGGUGACAUUGCAUUGGGGUAAACCUCAGGCGUUGAAAGGCCAAAUAAACCGGGGUGUCCUGCCUGGCAGGAUCUAAGGGUGGCCCGCCCGAUUCCCGGAGGGUAGGCCGAUUGAGGCAACGGGUGACCGUUGUCCCAGAUAAAUGAUAGAAAUCCGGUUGCGGCCGGAUACAGAAUCCCGCUUACAGGCCAUGCACAGUC
rnacentral:RNase_P_RNA from 1 species